rnacentral:rRNA from 1 species
GACGAACGCUGGCGGCGUGCUUAACACAUGCAAGUCGAACGGAAAGGCCCUGCUUUUGUGGGGUGCUCGAGUGGCGAACGGGUGAGUAACACGUGAGUAACCUGCCCUUGACUUUGGGAUAACUUCAGGAAACUGGGGCUAAUACCGGAUAGGAGCUCCUGCUGCAUGGUGGGGGUUGGAAAGUUUCGGCGGUUGGGGAUGGACUCGCGGCUUAUCAGCUUGUUGGUGGGGUAGUGGCUUACCAAGGCUUUGACGGGUAGCGGCCUGAGAGGGGGACCGGCCACAUUGGGACUGAGAUACGGCCCAGACUCCUACGGGAGGCAGCAGUGGGGAAUAUUGCACAAUGGGCGGAAGCCUGAUGCAGCAACGCCGCGUGCGGGAUGACGGCCUUCGGGUUGUAAACCGCUUUCGCCUGUGACGAAGCGUGAGUGACGGUAAUGGGUAAAGAAGCACCGGCUAACUACGUG